rnacentral:piRNA from 1 species
CAUUUGAGGGAAAGCUGCCCAG